ensembl:lncRNA
CCUAUCAUCACUAAAGAAGCACUGCCGCUCACAGGAAACACAGUAGCCACUGAGACUAAGAUGGCUACUUGCGGGUCAUGUUUCUGGUGCAUCAUAUGGCUCAUUGUUCUGCUGUUCAUUGGCUGGCCCAUCAGCAUCGCUUUAGGGGGUCUCUACGGCCUCAUCAGCCCCCUCACCACCUGCCUUGGUCUGGACCGACUGUCUGAUUUACUCCUGGAGGGAGCUAAUGUGGGCAGAACCUGUGCCAAUAACAUGAGGCACAGCAAGCCUUUGUGUUGAAAUCCAUCCUGUCUGAUCAGGACCAGAAAAAACAGAGGUCGAAGCCUUCACCUCAGGAAGAACUGUUAAUGUCUGAUUUAUGUGGAGCUAUUCCAGCACGACUGGUGCAUAAUUCCCUGAGAAACCUUCCAGCAACUUAUGUCACAAUAAGGUCCAGAAAGUCCUGGAAAAUUGAUUCCUCUCUCACUGGUAACAUGUAAUUAACUACAGAUUUUAAAUUUGCAUGGGUUUGUCAGGAAGAAAAUAGGCUUGCAGUGCAUGGUCUGUGUUUGCUGUUUAAUUCACGAUGACGCUGCGUGGAGACGAUAAGAACGAAAAUGCCAAUUUAACAAUGAAAAUAUUUAGACUUGGUAAUGUCUGUAUGGAAAUAUAUGGAAAUGC